rnacentral:rRNA from 1 species
UGCCAGCAGCCGCGGUAAGACGAACCGUCCAAACGUUAUUCGGAAUCACUGGGCUUAAAGGGUGCGUAGGCGGCCCUGCAAGUUGGGUGUGAAAUCCCACGGCUCAACCGUGGAAUUGCGCCCAAAACUGCAGGACUUGAGGGAGACAGAGGUGAGCGGAACUUAUGGUGGAGCGGUGAAAUGCGUUGAUAUCAUAAGGAACACCGGUGGCGAAGGCGGCUCACUGGGUCUCUUCUGACGCUGAGGCACGAAAGCUAGGGUAGCGAACAGGAUUUGAUA